AUCCUGCUCUGGCAGUUAUUUAAACAGAAGCCUCCAGGAGACAUACAAUCAACACUCCACUCAGACAAUGCCCAGACCUCCAGAAAUCAUGUGUCAAGCUUGGAUUGCCUUAGACAGAAGCUCACCCAGCUGGAACUCUUAUGGGACCUUGGCACCAGAGAUCACCAAUUCCUCUUUGAAGUUUUCUAACAGCAUCAAUGGUAUUUCUGACUUGGCUUUCUUGUAUUUCUCUCACAUUAACAAAACUGGUUGAGCAUCUACCACGGGCUACAUGCUGAGCUACAGGUGCUGUUGAUGAAACUGCCAAAGGAGCUGAAUAUGACUGACAUCUUUGGAAGGAUGAGACUUAGCGUGCCCGUACAGUUGUGUCCAAAUGCUGUCCUUAUCUCCCAAUGGAAAGGUCCCCAGGUUCUGCCUCCAUCCUGACGUCCAGUGUUGGAUUCCUCUUCACAUCAACUCCUCUCUGCAGGUUGAGCCAUCAGACCUUACCUCCUUAUUUAUGUUGAGCAAAGGAGAGAGAAUGCCUCUACAGACAACGAAAAAAGUGAAAAAAAAAAAUCCUUCUCC
rnacentral:lncRNA from 1 species